AAGACAGUUUCCCUUUGCCCCACUAUAAAGUAAUUUAUAGGCGUGAACCGGAUGAAUUCAGAGAAAGCCUAAAUCUUUUUGAUAUGGUAACCCUGAGCCAAGUUGAACAAAUAUCUAUUAAUUAUGUAGUUCAAAAGGUGCAACGCAUAGGUAAUGAGGAUAGAUAACCAAUAACUUACCCACGAGCGUCCGGCACCCAUAAUGGGUGAUGAUGUAUGCUGAACUCUAUUGAAAAAUAGAG
rnacentral:ncRNA from 1 species